CAUCUCCACCCAGCCUCUAACAUGCGCCCCGCUAUUAAUGCCCAUUGCUCCGCAAUCUUCUCCCCUUCCCAUCCCAUACUUUUCCUUCUCCCCUCCAGCCGCGCUCACAUCUUCUACGCAAGCGGCAGCCCAUCAAGCCCUCCAUCAAAAAUCUUAUCCUGUCUACAAUACGGCGCGGCGGCUGGGAUCCCAUCUCCAGCCAGGUGCUCCUCUGGCACGACACGACCACCGAUCUGGCUCGCCUCCGUGACACUCUGGGAUUCUCUUGGGCUACGCUUUUCUUGCUGGUGUGGUACCUACAUCGUAAGAGGCGGUGCCCUAGUCCUCCCCUCCCGUCUAUGUCUCCGUUUCAUCCAAGGUAGCUCCAGCGCUGCUCCUCCACUGGCCGUCUGCGACACCCAAGCCAGCCGCAACCUCUUCUUGGGUCCACCGUCCAGACAGUUGUCACCUUCCUUCCCCGUUCAUGUGUGCCGCCCAAGCUGGCCGCACAACCAUCAGCGACCCACAUCGGAAGCGUCACUCCUCCUAUGGACGCCACUGCAACUGCCCCAUCGCAACAACAGGCCAUUGCACGCAUGUUGACUCUGUGUAGAGAGCUAUGUUGUGGAUUUCCCCCUUUUGACUAUUUCCAAAAAAUUAAGUGUUGCGUGUGAAGAAUUUUUCAUAUGAGUAAUCAAGAUUGGUACUUGACUGUCGAAGUUUCUCUUUCGAUUCCUAUAAUCUCUCUAUUCCUCUUCGCCAUAGUGUCUUUAUCCAUCAUCUUCCUUUUUUGUUAUUUUUUGGGAUGUGUACUUGCACAUGUGUCUCUUGAUUUUGCAGCAGGCCGUACCUAUUCUAGUACUGCAUGGAGGUAUACGCACGGAUGUUUCAUCUUGUGUUUGGUCAUUCAAGCCCAUGCUGCAUUCUAAUUUCUUCCCCUUCCCUUACUGUUGUGCAUCAGGAUGUUCCAUAUGCCUGCCUGUUUAUCUGUAUUCAACCUUCUGACCACUACAUUUUUAUUCGUCUACAGAGAUCGAUACUGCACUGUAUGAUGAGAUGAUCUGCUCAAGAUUUUUAUGGUUAAUGUUGUCACUUUGUGAUUAUCUCUAUACUACAAUCUGUAUGUUUUGGCAAUAAUGACAAUGGUUUGUUCGUUUUAUUCCUAUAGGAUUGAUGCUUCAACUUAUCAUGCAUGUACUAAGUAUAAAGGUUUAGUAUUGCAAAACUUCCUUUACUUCCAGUCUGGUGCUGCCUCAACCUGCACAAAGAUUGGGAGAAAAGGAUGGCAAUCAACUUCCUAUGAGGCAACAUGAUCAGGUAGAUAUGCAGCCGGCUGAAGUGUUUGCUUGGUCAGGGGAGGAGAACUGCUGCAUCACACAUGAAGUACACAAUGAUCUGUUGCCAUGAAGAGAGACACCCCAGAUCAAGAUAGUCGCAAUAUUUUGAUGAUGAUUGCAGGUUACUUUUUUUUGUAUUCGGUGACUGAGUCUCAAUCAUUCCGUUGGUUUAUUGUCAAGAGUUAAUUCAACAUAUAUGCACACCCAAGAGUGUUUACAAGUAUAGGCAUGUGAACUGUCCAAGGAAGAUGAUAGUAUCUGAUGGAAUCAUCUAGCAGUUCCUGAUGAUUGCGCUCUCAAGUGCUAUUUUCCUAAUAUAUAGAUGUAAGAAUAUCUCCUGCUUUAAUUUUUAUAACAGAUUUUUAUUCUUUUAUUGCUUCA